GAGUUUGAUCCUGGCUCAGAACGAACGCUGGCGGCAGGCUUAACACAUGCAAGUCGAACGCCCCGCAAGGGGAGUGGCGCACGGGUGAGUAACGCGUGGGAAUAUGCCCUUCGGUUCGGAAUAACACAGGGAAACUUGUGCUAAUACCGGAUACGAUCUACGGAUGAAAGAUUUAUCGCCGAGGGAGUAGCCCGCGUAGGAUUAGCUAGUUGGUGAGGUAAUGGCUCACCAAGGCGACGAUCCUUAGCUGGUCUGAGAGGAUGAUCAGCCACACUGGGACUGAGACACGGCCCAGACUCCUACGGGAGGCAGCAGUGGGGAAUAUUGGACAAUGGGGGAAACCCUGAUCCAGCCAUGCCGUGUGAGUGAUGAAGGCCUUAGGGUUGUAAAGCUCUUUCGCCAGGGAAGAUAAUGACGGUACCUGGAAAAGAAGCCUCGGCUAACUCCGUGCCAGCAGCCG
rnacentral:rRNA from 1 species